GAUGAACGCUGGCGGCGUGCCUAAUACAUGCAAGUCGAGCGAACGGACGAGAAGCUUGCUUUUCUGAUGUUAGCGGCGGACGGGUGAGUAACACGUGGAUAACCUACCUAUAAGACUGGGAUAACUUCGGGAAACCGGAGCUAAUACCGGAUAAUAUUUUGAACCGCAUGGUUCAAAAGUGAAAGACGGUCUUGCUGUCACUUAUAGAUGGAUCCGCGCUGCAUUAGCUAGUUGGUAAGGUAACGGCUUACCAAGGCAACGAUGCAUAGCCGACGUGAGAGGGUGAUCGGCCACACUGGAACGGAGACACGGUCCAGACUCCUACGGGAGGCAGCAGUAGGGAAUCGUCCGCAAUGGGCGAAAGCCUGACGGAGCAACGCCGCGUGAGUGAUGAAGGUCUUCGGAUCGUAAAACUCUGUUAUUAGGGAAGAACAUAUGUGUAAGUAACUGUGCACAUCUUGACGGUACCUAAUCAGAAAGCCACGGCUAACUACGUG
rnacentral:rRNA from 1 species